GAUGAAGAACGUAGCGAAAUGCGAUACUUGGUGUGAAUUGCAGAAUCCCGUGAACCAUCGAGUCUUUGAACGCAAGUUGCGCCCGAAGCCAUUAGGCCGAGGGCACGCCUGCCUGGGCGUCACACGUCGUUGCCCCCCCAUCUAAUCCUUCGGGAUUGCGGGGGGCGGAUGAUGGCCUCCCGUGCGCCUCGUCGCGCGGUUGGCAUAAAUGCCAAGUCCUCGGCGACGCACGCCACGACAAUCGGUGGUUGCGAAACCUCGGUUGCCCGUCGUGUGCGGUCGUCGCGCAUCGAGGGCUCGAAAAAAUUGCCGGGCUCCGGCUCGACUUUCAACGCGACCCCAGGUCAGGCGGGGUUACCCGCUGAAUUUAAGCAUAUCAAUAAGCGGGAGGA
rnacentral:misc_RNA from 1 species